UCUCUCCCCUCACCAGCUCCUCGGCCAUAUGUUAGGAAAUUGCUGAUAAAAUUUUCCCCAGUCACCAUCACUGAGUCAGUGUCCCAUCUUAUGCAGAGCUGAGAAAAAGAGCAAUGGAUUAAUAGGGAAGGACAUUUUAAAUGCAGAUGCUUGUGUUGGUUUUGCUUAAUGCCCCUGAAAGUGUUUUAGUGAACAGUUGUGAGGAGUCUAAUGAAUGGCUGUGACAAACAUGCACACAGAAAGAAAAACUGUUCAGAUGCAUUUCUGUCUCCCUAGCCCCAGCAGCCCCUCUGGAAUGGAAAACAUAGUUCUGACCUACUUGCUUUCAGUAGACUGCAAUUAUAGCGCCUAUCAAUUUUCUAUAAAAAUACAGAUGUGAACAAAUGGAAAACCUGAGUGGCUCAAACAUGAGCAGAAUAAGAAUGUUACUCCCUCCCCUAGGCUCCAGCUCCUGCCAAGUUUUCCUUUUUCCAGGCUGAAAAGGAAAACUAGGUGAAAUGGAAGUAGAACAUCAAAAUAACUGUUCACAUUUUAUUUUGAAAUAUGUGCCAGCCUUUGUACACAAACAAAACAUGCCAUGGUAUCUGUCUGCCUACUGCCUACACGUGCAUAUUUUUCCCCAAAGGGAUGUCUCCGUAUUUGCUGUGGGUAAUUACUGGUUGCCUUUGUGAAAGAUUACUUUUGGUCUUGAAAUUUCAUUUGGUUUCUCAUAGCACAGUUUCUGCUGCCCACUUAAAGGCAAGGGCCUGAGCCAGGUGUCCAAAAGCAGACACAGCAAUCUAGCCCCAGUCUCCUCAAACCCUAAAGAAUGUUCAUUUGCUUGAUCUGCUGAUUGCAGUUUUGCUAUCCCACCCCAUGUCUGCUGCUAGAGCUCAUCUUAGAACAAUAACUGUGACUCCACAGGAAAGGCAGAAAGCGACAAAUGAGUUUACUGACUUUUGAGUUACUCACAUGCGGGGACACUUCUAGGCUUGAACAGAUGACGGAGCAUCUGGUGAGGGGUGCAGCUGGCCUAGAGAGCACAGGCAAAUUGCUUGCACCUGUGCACCCCCUCUGACCCAGGGUGGAAGCACCCUGGGCUCAUACAAGGGCCGGAUACAGAAAGGAGACUACCUCCUGGACUUAGGUGCUUUUUUGUGAAAGAGUGUUGUGUUGGUAGAGAGCACCUUCACCAGGAGAGCUGCGCAGUACAACUGCUGAAGCUGUACUGCAGAGCGCUGCUGUCAUCUUGCAUAGCUGCAGCCUCUUCCACCUCAGCCCUAGGAGUGCAGUGCUGGGGCUGUAAGUCAAUCCCACAGCUGUGAUGGAAGUGAUUCAAAGGUCUGCAAGAGGGAUAGCAACAUAGAAAGUCUUUAUGAACAGGAUAAUGAAAUAACAAAAAAAAAAAAAAAAAAAAAAAAAAAAAACACCAACAAAAAAAAACAGAAUGAACAA